AGCUAGUGCUAGCAUUUUCCUUAGGUAAAAACCCUUGCUCCUUCCCAGCGCCACCCUCUUGUCCAAAUAUGGUCACUUCUGGCUCCAAAAAAACCAAGAUGACGACGGACAAAAUGCCAGACUCGAGGCCUCAAGACAAAGAGAAGAAGAUGUGCUUGAUUGAAGAAGAAGGUUCUUCUGGUCCUGCAGUCAAUCCUGUUUCUUCCAUCCCAACCCCUCUAUCCUCUGUCCUGCUCUGUUUGUUGUCUCUACUGAAUUUUCUCUCUCCCUGUAUUUCACUCUAUGGCUUGCAUUUGGUUGCAUUCAUAUGCUAAACUUUGAGAAAACACUUUGAGAGAAAAAAGGUCUUCUUGAGCUUUUGUGGUUCCCAAACAUGGAUUUUGAUGAGUAAUCUGUUUAUUGUUUGUUGAACUGAUUCAUAAUUUUAUCUAUAAAAUGUAAAAUGUCUUCUGAUUACUUCC